rnacentral:rRNA from 1 species
UACAGAGGGUGCAAGCGUUGUUCGGAAUUAUUGGGCGUAAAGGGCGCGUAGGCGGUGCUGUAAGUCUGUAGUGAAAUCUCUGGGCUCAACUCAGAGUCUGCUAUAGAAACUGCAGUGCUGGAGUGUGGGAGAGGUGAGUGGAAUUCCCGGUGUAGCGGUGAAAUGCGUAGAUAUCAGGAGGAACACCGGUGGCGAAGGCGGUUCUCUGGGCCUUACCUGACGCUGAGGAGCGAAAGCGUGGGGGAGCGAACAGG